GGGGAUGUGGCUCAGUGGGAGAGCAUUCGGUUCGCAUCCGAAAGGUCGUGGGUUCAAAUCCCAUCAUCUCCA
rnacentral:tRNA from 1 species